AGCGCCACCGGAUCGACCGCCCUGGUCACGGUGAGGUAGUCCCGGAUCGCCGUGCCGUGUCGACCCUC
rnacentral:sRNA from 1 species